rnacentral:tRNA from 2 species
UCCUUGAUGGUCUAGUGGUCAUGAUUUCCGCUUGUCAAGCUCUCGCUUAGAGUUAACAAGCGCGGGAGACCGGGGUUCGAUUCCCCGUCAGGGAG